GCCCGAAUCUGGCAAAACUCUAGUUUUACUUAUUUGAGUGCGUCGAGUCCAAUUCUGCAUCCAAUUCGUGCAGAAUUGACUCCGACUCAGUCCGACACUCUCCAGAGAUGUCGACCAGUCACUAAUACUGAAGCCAACCCUAUCCAAAGCUCAGGAACACUACAGCAUUUCUCUAAACUCCUCCUCUAUUAUUUGUUUCGGAUUUUUAAAUUGCUUGAUUAUUUAGCUUUUUAUUUUAGAAACCUAAUUCAGCCCCCCUCUUAGGUUUCCAUUUUGAUCCUCACUCUACUCUUCAUCGACUGAUGGAUCAUGAGGGAUUGCUAGCACUGUUCAGAUGGUCCGUAACUCAUCCGGUUCGUAAGAUGAAAAUCGAUCGGGUCGUCGAUUCCUUGUGGAUACGCGUAGAGGCCGGACAAGUGCGCGGCUAAUCGGAAUCUCUGUUCGUCAUAUUCAGUUUCAACCGUACAGCAGAUCAAAAGAGCUUAACUGGUUCACAGUAAGAUCUCUAAACAUAAAGAGUUUUUGUUUAGAUUAAAUUUUUGCAUACUAACAUGAGAAUGAUCCACCCGUAACGGUUUGAUUUAUUGGUUUUCGAUUUUUAUAUGUAAUAUGUAUUUUGCUUUCGAAACAUUUUAAAAGUGCAAAACUAUUUUUCGCUGCGUUUUUUUGAUUUACCGGUUAAUUUCUAACAUAAUAACCCUUCA
rnacentral:lncRNA from 1 species